CAGCCGCCGCGGUAAUACGGAGGGCGCGAGCGUUACCCGGAUUUACUGGGCGUAAAGGGCGUGUAGGCGGCCUGGGGCGUCCCAUGUGAAAGGCCACGGCUCAACCGUGGGGGAGCGUGGGAUACGCUCAGGCUAGAGGGUGGGAGAGGGUGGUGGAAUUCCCGGAGUAGCGGUGAAAUGCGCAGAUACCGGGAGGAACGCCGAUGGCGAAGGCAGCCACCUGGUCCACUUCUGACGCUGAGGCGCGAAAGCGUGGGGAGCAAACCGGAUUAGAUACCCCAGUAGUCCCUGUCUCUUAUAC
rnacentral:rRNA from 1 species